rnacentral:rRNA from 1 species
UACGGAGGGUGCAAGCGUUAUCCGGAUUCACUGGGUUUAAAGGGUGCGUAGGUGGCUUUGUAAGUCAGUGGUGAAAUCUUAGAGCUUAACUCUAAAACUGCCAUUGAUACUGCUUAGCUUGAAUCAAGUCGAGGUGGAUGGAAUAUUACAUGUAGCGGUGAAAUGCUUAGAUAUGUAAUAGAACACCGAUUGCGAAGGCGGCAUCCUGGACCAAUAUUGACGCUGAGGAGCGAAAGCCAGGGGAGCAAACGGG